CCUAUUCUGGGUGAUCCUGCCAGUAGUCAUAUGCUUGUCUCAAAGAUUAAGCCAUGCAUGUCUAAGUACAAGCCUUAUUAAGGUGAAACCGCGAAUGGCUCAUUAAAUCACACCUAAUAUACAGGAUAGUAUCAGUUACUUGGAUAACUGCGGUAAUUCUGGAGCUAAUACAUGCAAAAAAGCCCUGAACUUACGUGAAGGGCGCUUUUAUUAGAUCAAAACCUAGAGGCCUUGGCCUUUAAUUUGGUGACUCUGAAUAACUUUGUGCAGAUCGCACGGAUUUUCUCCGGCGACGUAUCCUUCUAAGGUGUGCCCUAUCAACUGUCGACUGUGGCAUAGACGCCCACAGUGGUUUUGACGGGUAACGGGGAAUUAGGGUUCGAUUCCGGAGAGGGAGCCUGAGAAACGGCUACCACUUCUAAGGAAGGCAGCAGGCACGCAAAUUACCCACUGGUCGAAGACCGAGGUAGUGACGAAAAAUAACGAUGCCGGACUCAUCCGAGGCCCGGUAAUCGGAAUGAGCACACUUUAAAUCCUUUAACUAGGAACAAAUAGAGGGCAAGUCUGGUGCCAGCAGCCGCGGUAAUUCCAGCUCUAUAAGCGUAUACCAAUAUUGUUGCGGUUAAAAAGCUCGUAGUUGGAUCUCGGCGGACAGGGUGCGGUUCGAUAUUUGUCGAUACUGCUCCGUUUGUUCGUGUUUUUUGGCAGAGGUUCUGGGGUGCUCUUAAACGAGUGUCUCAGGAUGCUGUCGGGUUUACUUUGAAAAAAUUAGAGUGCUCAAAGCAGGCUUUACGCGCUUGAAUAUUCGUGCAUGGAAUAAUAGAAUAGGAUGUCGUUUCUAUUUUAUUGGUUUUCGGAAAUCGACAUAAUGAUUAAUAGGGACGGUCGGGGGCAUUAGUAUUCAGGCGACAGAGGUGAAAUUCUUGGACCGUCUGAAGACUAACAACUGCGAAAGCAUUUGCCAAGAAUGUUUUCAUUAAUCAAGAACGAAAGUUAGAGGUUCGAAGGCGAUCAGAUACCGCCCUAGUUCUAACCAUAAACGAUGCCAGCUAGCGAUCCGCGGAUGUUUUAUUACUAGGCUCCGCGGGAAGCUUCCGGGAAACCAAAGCUUUUGGGUUCCGGGGGAAGUAUGGUUGCAAAGCUGAAACUUAAAGGAAUUGACGGAAGGGCACCACCAGGGAUGGGGCCUGCGGCUUAAUUUGACUCAACACGGGAAAUCUCACCAGGCCCGGACACUGGAAGGAUUGACAGAUUGAGAGCUCUUUCUCGAUUCGGUGGGUGGUGGUGCAUGGCCGUUCUUAGUUGGUGGAGUGAUUUGUCUGGUUAAUUCCGAUAACGAACGAGACUCUAUCCUGCUAAAUAGAUUAGACGUCCUUUGUUACGUUUAAUUCUUCUUCUUAGAGGGACUAGCGGCGUUUAGCCGCGCGAGAUUGAGCAAUAACAGGUCUGUGAUGCCCUUAGAUGUUCUGGGCUGCACGCGCGCCACACUGAAGGGAUCAGCGUGUUCUCCCUCUCCGAGAGGAGCGGGUAACCGACUGAACCCCCUUCGUAGUAGGGAUCGGGGCUUGCAAUUAUUCCCCGUGAACCAGGAACCCCUAGUAAGCGCGAGUCAUAAGCUUGCGUUGAUUACGUCCCUGCCCUUUGUACACACCGCCCGUCGCUACUACCGAUUGAACGUUUUAGUGAGGUAUUCGGAUUGAGUUGUUCGAGGGGUAACCUUCGGAUUACAUGAAAAGAUUCCCAAACUUGAGCGUUUAGAGGAAGUAAAAGUCGUAACAAGGUUUCCGUAGGUGAACCUGCGGAAAAGGAUCAACCUACGGAAACCUUGUUACCACCUUUACUUCCCCUAGACCCCCCCUUUGGGGAAUCUUUCAGGUAAUCCCAAAGUUAACCCUCGAACAACUCA
rnacentral:rRNA from 1 species